rnacentral:rRNA from 1 species
UAGGGAAUAUUGGUUAAUCUGCGAAAGCGGGAACCAGCAACGCCGCGUGCACGAUGAAGGCCUUCGGGUUGUAAAGUGCUUUUUGAGAGGAUGAGGAAGGACAGUACUCUUAGAAUAAGCUUCGGCUAACUACGUGCCAGCAGCCGCGGUAAAACGUAGGAAGCGAGCGUUAUCCGGAUUUACUGGGCGUAAAGCGUGUGUAGGCGGUUUGAUAAGUUGGAUGUGAAAGCUCCUGGCUUAACUGGGAGAGGUCGUUCAAAACUAUCAGACUUGAGAGUGGUAGAGGGAGGUGGAAUUCCGGGGUGUAGUGGUGAAAUGCGUAGAUAUCCGGAGGAACACCAGUGGCGAAAGCGGCCUCCUGGCCCAUUUCUGACGCUCAGACACGAAAGCUAAGGUAGCA